rnacentral:piRNA from 1 species
AAGGAGACAUACAGGCAAAUCUG